rnacentral:pre_miRNA from 1 species
UGAUAUGUUGGAUAUUUGGUUGUAUAUUAAACUGUUUUUUGGCAUUAAACCACUCAACCGAAUAUCGAACCUAUCUGAA